rnacentral:rRNA from 1 species
AAGUCGUAAACAAGGUCUCCGUAGGGUGAGUUUUUGAAACGACUUCUAACUAAUAUUGAAUGAAUGCUAAACAGAUUUUCCAGUGAAACCUGCGGAGGGAUCAUUUACUGAGUGAGGGUCUCUGACCCGACCUCCAACCCUUUUGUGAUUUAAAACCUCUGUUUGCCUCGGGGCGACCCGGACCCGCGUCUAGGGCCCCCGACGGACCAUUUUCAAAAAACACUGCAUCUUUGCGUCGGAUUGAAUAAAGUAAAAUGAUUAAAAACUUUCAAACAACGGAUCUCUUGGUUCUGGCAUCGAUGAAGAACGCAGCGAAAAUGCGAUAAGUAAUGUGAAAUUGCAGAAAUUCAGUGAAAUCAUCGAGUUUUUUGAAACGCACACUGCGCCCCUUGGUAUUUCCGGGGGGCAUGCCCGUUCGAGCGUCAUUUCACCAAUCAAGCCUGGCUUGGUAUUGGGCAACCGGGGGCGACCCGGGCCUCAAAGUCGCCGGCUGGUAAAGCUCUGAUCUCAGCGUCGUGAUCAAUCAAAAUUUCGCUUUGCAGAGGAGUGAGCCGUGCCGGUUUAAGAAUUAUCUUAAAAGGUUGACCUCGGAUCGGGUAGGAAUACCGCUGAAACUUAA